GGGGCUGGGGCUCAGUGGCAGAGCACUUGCCUAGCAUGUGUGAGGCACUGGGUUCGAUCCUCGGCAGCACCA
rfam:Ictidomys tridecemlineatus contig096961, whole genome shotgun sequence.